CGUUAUUUAACUAAAUUAAUUUCUUGCUUUUUUGUCAGUUUUUUACAUUAAAAUGAUUUAAAAAUGACUAGAAUAAAAUCUACUUAAAUUGGUUGUUAAAGAUUUAGCUAUUAUUUUUGAAUAAUUCCAAAUAGAGAGAUUAUUGAAUGAAUCCAACGUAAUUUAAUUGAGUUGUUUUCAAUUUACAAGCAUUUCCUGUUAAAACGCGCGCUUUAAGCAAGCAGCUCUCCGACGUACACGAGGCAUGCACGCACUGGAGAUUGCCAGCUGCAGACAAAUCAUAUCUGGUUGCGCAAUAUUUUUUGAUUUGCUUAGUUCCUUAAUAUAUGAAUACAAGACACUGUUUAAUGUCAAAAGGGCAGCUGUAAAACUAUUCACGUCUGCAGUCGAACAGUUUAUGCUCACGAGGCCUGUUACGUUACUGGAGUUUCCCGCUGACAACCUGGAGGCAAAUCUCGUCAGCGCUCUUUUUUCAACGUUAAAUUCCUAACAAAGGUAAGGAAAUUUUAAUUUACAUAUGAAAAAAUAACUUGCAAAUUGUUCAAGUUGUCUACUUGAUGUAAUGUGAACGUCAUUGUUGUGUAACAUGUAACGUUAGUGCUGGCUUAAUUCGGACAUUUUGGUUGCUCAUAAAGUAUGGGACAUUGUGUUUUACACUAGGGCUGCAACGAUUAGUCGACGUUAAAAAUAACGUCGACAGUAAAAAAACUGGCGACAAAUAAUUUUGUUGUCGAGUAGUCAUUUGAUUUCAUAUUUAUUUAAUGGCCCGCAAUAACGUGGUUUGACCUGUGGGGCGCUGUAGCGCGACUACCCUUCCAGAGGCAACGCAAUAGAAGAACAUGGCGCUUAGCAAAGCAAGCUGAACUAGCAGAUAGGUCUAGCUGUCACGAUCGCCACAGAGAGCUUUUUGCAUCGUACGUCUAUUUCGCCUAGCUAGCAUAUAAACACAUUAACCUACCUUCAGUCGGUUUCUUCAACUCUUUCUUAACUCGUUAGCUUCGUUUCUUAACCCCCCAAAAACAUGUUCUCUUAGAAGCUGAGGUGUAUUAUUUAAAAUGCUGCAUCUGUGCCUGCAUAAGGGGAUCAAACGUCCCUGCUGAAUAAACAAUAUAUAUAAGUUAACCCUGCCCAAACAGCAUUUAAAAUGUAAUGAUUAUGGUAAUUUAGUGGAAUUGGUUUUAAUGGAAACUAAUAAUGGUCUAAUGUCUUGGUAUGCGAUGGAUUCUAUUGGUGGGAAUAAUGCUAAAAACAAAAAGGAGUUUUGUAACCGUUUUAAUGAAAAAAGUUUAUGGUUUAUAAUAAUAUUUUUAUUGUUUUUUUUCAGCUGGGGUAGCCUAUAUUUGUCUGAAAUAAUGUAAGUGGUAACCAAUCAUGAAUUCAGCAGCCCUUAGGGUAAUGUUUGACCACAGGAUAGAGAAGAUAACAUUGCCAUCUGGAAUACCAGAGUCCUUGGAAGAGUUGCACUCAACUGUCAAGCAGGCUUUAAAUAUUACAGAUUAUAUCAGUCUACAGUACAUGGAUUCAGAUUUUGAGUAUUUUUUACUCUUCAAUCAACAACUCAGAUUCAGCACAAAUCCACCAUUAAGGUUGUGACUGUUGCACCAAUAGUUCUUACUUUGUUGACAGAUCGAGGGAGCUUUUCUGGCGUUUAUGCAUGGCAGACAAGCAUUAAAUACAAAAUGGCUAACUACCGAACAAAACUCAGAGGUUUUGGCAUUCCUGAGGUCAUGUGUAAUGCUCUAAAACACAAAAACCCUGAUGACAGAAAGUCUGCAAAAAAUGUUAAAAAGUUCAAAAGAGCUGAAGUCAACUACCUCCCAUCUUACCCAGUGGGUGAAGAUGAGAGUACUUUGGAAACAGAGAGAGAAGAGCUGGUCUCAGAAUUGAAAAAAAAAGAACAAUGAAAAGAUGAACAAAACAUUUGCUCAUAGACGACAUGAAAUCAUUAAUCGGUGUCCAAGUGUGCAAGAUAUAAAGGAACGAUGGCCAGCCCUGUUUCAGCCUUCUCAAGUGACUGCAGAAUUUCAGAGAAUAACCACAGUGCAGCUGGAACCUAAAUUGAUGUCCUCAUUGGACCCUCACACUCCCAAGCUGCUGACACUGUUUUGUGCCAAAGGAGGAGCACUUGGGCAAAGACUGAAAACUGAGAUGGAAUUACUGAAGGAUGGGCAUUGUUCUGUUGAUAUGACAAGAGAGGUCGUUAUCCGCUUUAUGAUAGAAUUCCUUGGGGAACAUGCAGGAGAUCAAAGAAUUCAACGACAAUGAAGAACAGACAGGAAUUGAACAGCUUGUGAUGGCAGUAAUUGUGACCAGGACAGGAGCUUCAAGUGACAGUCCAAAGGACACUGGAAUUGUAAUCGAGGGUGUGAAAGUUCUCACAGGCCUUGAAAGUGUUCCCAGGGCUUGCUGUGUCCUCCUUGGUUUGACAUAUGCACUGAAUCUUCAUUAUCCCAGGCAUCUAAAGAAUACCUUCGAGGUAUUUCAAAAACUUCUCUUGCUUCGAAGCUGUCAAACAGAGUCCAGUCCCUCAGAUCUAGACUGCUGUCUUAAAAUAAGCUUGAUGCUUCAAAUCUGUUGUGAGCCCGUCUCACAAGUCAACACUGCUGUUUUAAAAUGAGAUUGCUAUUCGUUUAACUAAGUUCAGUAGUUAAAAAUAAGCUUGAUGCUUCAAAUCUGUUCAAGUCCAUGCAGUCACACAAGUCUACACGGCUGUUUUAAAAUGGAUUGCUAUUUGUUUAACUAAAUCCACUUGUUAAAAUAUCUACACUGUUUUAAAAUUAGAUUAUUAGUAUAAUCUGUUAUGUGGUUCGAUGUUGCAGAAAAAGAAGUAAAGUUUCUUUUGUGUUCAGAAAACAUGGAAACCUUGUUUUUAUAUCCAUUUUAUUUUAAACGGUGCGACUGCAUUGUGUAUUUUGAACAGUUUGUGCCUAAAAAGAGAACACCAAAAGAGACAAAUUUGCACUUUUUGCACUCAUCCUGUGCGAAUUGAUGUGUCUUAAAAUGUGAAAGAUGCAGUUCUGUUUGUAAAGAGUACGGUAUAUUCACACUGAGAACACUAAUACAUGCGAUUUUUGUGACAUGUUGGCAAUAAAAGGAGUUUGUAAUUCAUUUUAUGUCUGUCUUUUAUUCAUACCUGAAAUCAGAUUUAAUUAAAUUAAUCCACUUAUUUAAAAUAAUACCAUCUUAAUUUUGUGUUAAAUGAAAACAAUUCCAUUUAGUAGUAUUCAUUAUCAUUGUGCUUUUUUGUCCAAGGAAACCAAUAUUUUUGUUUAAAUUUUAAUUAAUUAUUUUGAGUGAUAUUUGCAGUUACUCAUUUUGAAUGGUUGAUUUGUAAUGAGCUCAUUUGAUAAAUUCUAACUCAAUUUGUGAGUGUUGUUGAAUUUAAUUAAUAACAUUGCUUGUAAUCUGUUGCCACAAUUUUAUUGAGUAAAUAUAGGGUAUUAUUUUUUACAGUGUACUCUAGUUACUCUUAAAAUCUUAAAAAGUGAAUGUUAUUGCCUAUACCUUAUAUCGGUUCUCUUUUACAUUUCAGUCUAUUUUCAAUCCGUGAGUGAUACACUAACAAACACUGUUCCUGUGCAUUACUUAUUUUUAUCCCACAGAAACACUAAUAAUCAAAGUACUCAAACUGUCAUUUCCCAUUUUGUACAUUAAGUGAGAAUACAACCACGUCACUUAAUGUAAUUUUCUCUUCUGUUAAAUCACAAACGCAUGGCAAAAGCACAAAUAUAAAUGCUUCGCAUAACUGCGGGAAUGCUAAGGAGAAAACCUCCAAGGUUUUUUUUAAGGCUGCAGAAGAGUAAGUCUGACCUCUAGUGGCUAAAAGAUGCUAGAAUUAUCAAAGUGUAUGCUGUGUUUACAAAAUUAUUCAGUUUAACGAGUUUUGCUACUUUCAGAACUGAUUGCUGUGGACUCUUGCCUUUACAGGCAAAAAAGUCAAAUAGAGUUAAAAAGGCAAUUUUUUAAAUAAAAUAACCAAGUUCAAAAGUUGACAUACACCUGAUUAUUAGUACUGUACAAUGUUACCCCAAUCAAUGGCAGUUUUGUAAUAGUUGUUGAAAAGUUUCUUGUUUGUCCUGAGCCAUUAAACUGUCCACUGGUCUCCAGAAAAAUCUUAGAUCUUGCACAAUCUUUGCUUUUUCGGCAUUUUCUGCAUAUUUGACAAUUGUUCACCAGUGACUGUAUAGUGUUGAGAUCCAUCUUUUCUUACUGAGGACCAUCAAGAAAUUCAUACACAACUACUACAAAAGAUAUUAACAUUCAGUGAUGCUCAAGAAGGCAACAAAAUAGAAUACAUGUAUUGCCAGGUAUGUAAACUUUUAGGCUGGGUGUUUUCAACAUUCUCCAGAUUCUGCUAGGUGAAUGUAAACUUUUGUUUUGACACAACUGCAUGAGCCUUCUCUACUCUAACAUAGCCUUGUUUUUCCCUCUAUGUCUCAUCCUUUGGGACCCCAGAGACACAAGAUACAGAAGAUCCAAGUCCGGUUUUAGCUGAUGUUGCCUUAUACCACCAGAUGAUGAUCACAGCCAGUGUUGG